UACCUGGUUGAUCCUGCCAGUAGUCAUAUGCUUGUCUCAAAGAUUAAGCCAUGCAAGUCUAAGUACGAGCUCUCGUACAGUGAAACUGCGAAUGGCUCAUUAAAUCAGUUAUGGUUCAUUUGAUCGUACAGUUUACUUGGAUAACUGUGGUAAUUCUAGAGCUAAUACAUGCGAGAAGCGCCGACCUCGCGGGAGGCGUGCAUUUAUCAGACCAAAAACCGGCCGCGUCUUCGGGCGCGUUCGCCUUGGUGACUCUGGAUAACUUUGCGGAUCGCACGGUCUAGCACCGGCGACGGAUC
rnacentral:ncRNA from 1 species